GGAAAGGUGUUUGAUUGACAUGAAACAGAUGGCAGCAUCUUACCACACCCCUUUUUCCUAUGUAAUAAAUACUGUCGAAAUGAUGUUUUUAUUUAGAAACUAUCCACCGUUACUUUGUAACCUGUAUACUUUCUCCUUGCAAGCAAGAUUAAAACCGUUUAUUGCGCAAUUGAUUUCUCCUGUCUUACCUACCAUUUUCAUAGAACUUUGGAAUUUUAGAAAUUGCCAUCACAACACUGAGGCACAGCCAAUGAAAACAAUUAAAACAGCUGAGGAUUUGCCAGUGGAUAAUCACCAACUGUGACAGCAGACCACUUCCACAUACAGAAAAUCUGACUGACAAGGCCUUCUAGAUGACAUGAUCAAGCAUGCUUUUCUAGCUUGACUCAUUUGGAAAAUAUGCCAGAGGUCCUCAACCAGAGCCAAGGGAAAUAGUGGUGCUGGGGGUGUUGUAAUCUCAGCACCCUCUGACAAGAUUCGGAAACCACUUUUAUCUUUGUUCUAUCCCCUAAUCGUGCUACCAAUUUGCUCAGAGAUGCCUUGCCCUUCCAUGGUAUGUAAGUAACUCCUGUAUAGAGAAGUUAACAUGCUGUGCUGUUGGUAAUGGAGCUUGACAUGUUCGGUAUAACACUAGAAUCUUUUGAUUUGGAGUGAAAUGAAAGCUGGGUAAAAAAUGUUAUGCUGCACCUUUGAGUGCAUCUGUAGUUGUUUUUGUUUGUAAAGGAUUCAAGAGCAUGAGCACCAGAGGCAGUCAAGAACACAAGACAUUGUACUCUCUUACAGUGUCUUCAGAAAGUAUUUGAACCCAUUCACUUUCUCUGCAUGUAGUUGUGUUAUGGACAUUGUUUCUAAUUGUUAUUAAUUGGUAUCAAUCUAUACACAAUACCAUAUAAUUACAAAGCAAAACAAGUAAAAAACUGAAAUAUCUCAUGUACAAAUAUAUGAGUGUUCAGAUCCUUUGUUCUGUACUUUUUAAAAGUGCCUUCGGCAGCGAUCACAGGUAUUCCUGGGUAUGCCUCUACCAGUUCUGCGUGCUCAGAUUUGGUCAGGCUCUCCAAUUUUUCAGAGAUUUUCAAUGACAUUCAUGUCUGAGCUUUGGCUAGGCCACUCAAGGACAUUUACAAACUUGUCCUGAAGACACUCCAGAGUUCUUUGGGCUGUGGGCUUUGGGUUGUUGUUGUGUUAAAAGAUAUAUGCCCCAGUCUGAGUUCCUGUGCACUCUAGAUUUUUUGUUGUUCAACCAUGCCGUCAUUUUGACCUGUCGACCAAGCCCUUUCACUGAGAAAGAUCCCGAUAGCACAAUGCUCCAUGUUUCACCAUAGGGAUGGCAUUAGUCAAGUGAUGAGUGGUACCUUGUUUUCACCCGACAUGCUUUGCAUUCAGGUCUAAUCGUUUUAUUUCAGUCUCAUCAAACCAGAGAGUCUUGUCAUUUAGACUGUAUGUCAUGUGCCUUUUACUCAUAUGCUUCUUUCUAACCACUCUUCCAUAAAUGCCUCAUUGAUGGAGUGCUGCAGAGAUAAUUGUCUUGCUUUUGUUUAGCUCUUGCACAUGCAUUGUGAAGUGGGGGCCCUUAUAGACAGAGUUUGGGAGUAACGGAUUACAGAAAAUCAGUAACUGUAAUCCGUUACUUUACCAACUAAAAUAUUGUAAUCGGAUUACAGAUACUUUUGAAAGAAUUUAUGAUUACAUUUGGAUUACUUCAAUUAAAAAGAUUAGGUGUGCGACAUACUUACGACAUGUAAAAACAUUGUUAUUUGAAUUAAAAUAACAAUUGUACGCCUCAGUUGUUGUGUGUGAUCAUCAUGCGAGCAAAGGUGGGCAUGCAUAACCAGAUUAGUAACCGAUGAAGCACUAGUUUAAUUUUCUCCGGUUUUGGUUGGUUGGGUGGCUGAUAAAAACAGUACAGUAUAUCUACGCUUAUAUUAGCCGACCCAUAUAAAAUGUGAUUUAGUUAUCUACUAUCAACACAUUUCUGAGAACAAUGAUAGGCAACAAGGUUUAUUUGUCAAAUGCACCGAACAACAGCCAGAAAGAGUUGCACCGAAGAACUCGUACAGGAAUUGUUAGGAAGAUUAGGGAACUAUUUGUUAGAUACCUGUAAUAUGACGCUGCCUUCAACAUAGAACAUCAUAUGGAAUUUAUCACGAUAUUUGAGGAGAAAAGGUGUGUUGGGAAGCACUCAAAGGAUGAUUGCAUUUGAUGUAGCCAACUCAACUCUGUCCAUACAAGUAGGCCAUGUGAUUCUGCCUGCUUUGCAUCUCAGACAAUUGCGUUCAUUGGUUAUCAUUGGCUGCUGAAGACUUUGACUUUAAGCUAAAAGCGCAGGUGUAUAAUCACAGUUUAUUUCUUUCUUUUAUGUUUUGAAAAUCCAUCUCAUUGUAGCCCUAAUAAUCGCAGGGUACAUUCGCCCGAGUAAAACGUAUUUGUGUGCGGAUAUGCCUGGGGUUUCUGUAACGUUUUGACUGGUGGUUUGUUGGUGGUUGUGGAGCAAAACAUCGGACUCCUGUAGAUUUAGUGUACGCGCGAAAAUCUACGGAUUUCUUGAUUUUUAUAUACAAUAAUGUCAAUACCAUUUUUGAGAAAUUACCAUUUACUGCCAAAAGGUCUUCAAUUGGUUAUAGGUUAUUCCCAUAUGUUUUCUAAUGCCUCUUAAUAUGAAAGUAAUCAGAUUACUUUACUGAGUUUGAGUAAUCAAAAAGUUACGUUAUUGAUUACAAAUGUGGACAGCUAACUUGUAAUUGUAACCGAUUACUUUUAUAAAGUAACCUACCCAACCCUGCUUAUAGACAGGCACGCACCUUCCUAAAUCUUUUGCCACAGGUACACCUCAAUAAUGAUAAAAGCAAUUCUGGAGUGUGAUCGCAAGUGUGUAAGAUAUUUCAAGAGUUUAUUUUCUAUUAAUUGGCAAAUAUUUCUAAAAACAUUUUCUCACUUUUUCAUUAAGUGGUACUGUGUGUAGACCAAAAAAAUACAUGUAAUCCGUUAUUGAUCAAAACUACAAAAUGACACAAUGUGGAGAAAGUGAAGGUCUCCGAAUACUCUCCGAAGACUCUGUAUUGAUUCAGGUGAGGGAGUGCAACUCUUGUUCACUCAUAAACCAGGGUGGGGGGAUCCUGGCGUGAGACAUCUCAGUGGACCGUUUUCUGGGCAGGUCCGGUUAAAGGGAACAGGGAUACAUUGUCUAUUUCUGAGUCGUUCUCACCACCUCACUCCUCAACACCUGCCUUCCCUCUCCUCACCUCUCUGUCCUGGCCUCCUUUAGAAAGGGUUAUGCAGAUAGUAGCCUGUAGAGUGAAAAUACUUUGGUCCUGCACUUAUGUGUCAUCAAGCAAAUUACAUGUAGAGGACUGGAUCCCAAAACAAAUAUGUAAGGUGAUUUAAACUAACUGUCAGUUGCGCACAACAUUUUACUGAUAAAACAAUACGUGGCGUAUUGUUUUCUAAGCGUGUGCACGCUUUUCUCUUCAGACUAAAUAUAAGCAAAUUUUUAAAGAGUUUUAAAUUCCUCUGCAGUUGGAUACACGGGAUUAUCCUGAAUGAAAGGCCGCUAUGGAGAACAUUUCACUCACAAUGAAUUGACAUCUCAACCAGUUAUUGAUUUACGGGUCACAAAGGAGACUGGAUUUAGCAUGGUCUUUUACACGGAUGAGAAAAGGGGAUGGUAUGUAGAUCCAAAACAGCUUUUUCCUCUCUCCCGUGAGCAUGUUAGAUAAACCAUGGAUGAUUUUUUCUCUUGGCCAAAUUGACUAAUUUCAAGGUGAGGAAUAAUUUAUCAUCAAGUUGUAAAAAAAAGGUAGAAUUGUCAUGUCAAAUAUAGAAUCUUAUAAAUCUGAGCAUUUUGAGAAAGCAUUGGAGCAUAAAGAAAUCCUCUCUGGAUAAGCUCAAUAUAUUUUUAAACCUCCUAUUCUGGACUUGAGAUUUCAGUGUGUAGUUCAUUCGAACAUACUAUAAGUGUACAACUACUGCAUGUGUUUAAGCAAUUAUUUUACUACACUGGUAAUUUGUUGUGAAUUCCUGUAAAUAUGUAAAUAAAGGAACCAGUAGAUGGAAAUGAACAAGGGUCUCCAAACAUCUAAAGAGAGCAGGUACAGAGGAUUCAACACACUAAACAUAAAAGAACAGAUUCAGGGUUUUAGGAAGUAACUGGAGCUUUUCAUGAAAACAUGACACACUUUAAAAGUAGGUAGUGAACCCCAGGGAAUUGCCAUUGUAGGAUCAGAUCCUAUUCCUCCUUUCUGGCCUCAUGCCACGUUCAAAUGUUUUAUAGGAAUUUUUUACUGGGAAGUUUCACUUGAAUGACCGUUCAAGCUGUAAUUACAAAUGGGUCACUUGUUGACAUACUUGCUAAGUUUCACAGCUGACCUUUUUAUCUUUUCAACCCUAAAAUCUCUACGCAUCUGUUUUUGACAAAGAGUCCAUUCAGUGCUUGCUAUGACUUAGCUUCUCACCUGUCCUGUAUUCUUGUAAGCUGACUUAACACUGUUUCAAUGAACACAAAAUCUAUUGUUUUAGUUGUUUACAAUGUUAAAUUAGUAUGAGCUGUACAUUUAUAUGUUCUUUGCACAACCUUGAUUCCAAAAAAGCUGGGAUGUCUUGUAAAAUGCGAAUUAAAACAGAAUGCAAUGAUGUGCAAAUCAUUUAUCCCUAUAUUUAUUUGAAGAUAGUACAAAGUCAAAAUAUUAAAUGUUGAAACUGAGAAAUUGUAUUGUUUUUGGAAAAAUAUAUGCCAGUGUUGAUUUGAUUUGAUGCCAGCAACGCAUUUCAAAAAAGUUUGGACAGGGACCUGUUUACCAAUGUGUUGCAUCACCUCUUCUUUUAACAAUACUCUGUAAGCGUUUGGGAAAUAAGGAGAUCAAUUGCUGUAGUUCUGAAUGUGAAAUGUAUUCCCAUUCCUGCUUGACAUAGGAUUUCAGCUGCUCAACAGUUCGGGUUCUCCUUUGUAGUAUUUUCAUAACGUGCCAAAUGUUUUUAAUGGAUGACAGAUCUGGACUGCUGGCAGGCCAGGUUAGCACCUGGACUCUUUUACUGUGGAGCACUACUGCUGUAAUGCAUGCAGAAUGUGGUUUGGUAUUGUCUUGCUAAAAUAAGCAAGGCUUUACCUGACAAAGACGUUGUCUGGAUGGCAGCAUAUGUUGUUCCAAAAUGUGUGUAUGUUGUUCAGCAUUAAUGGUGCCUUCACAGAUGUCCGAGUUGCUUGUGCCAUGUGCACAAAUGCACCCCCGUACCUUCACAGAUGCUGGCUUUUGAACUGUGCGCUGAUAACAAACCAGAUAGUCCCUCACCUCUUUAGUCCGGAGGACACUGCAUCCAUGAUUCCCCAAAAUCAUUUAAAGUUUUGAUUUGUCAGACCCCAGGACAGUUUUCCACUUUACCUCAGUCCAUCUUAAGUGAGCCUGGGCCCAGAGAAGGCAGCAGCGUUUCUGGAUCUUGUUUAUAUGUGGUUUCGUCUUUGCAUUGAGUUUUUACUUGCAUUGCCCAUGCAGUGAUUUCCACUAGAGAAUCAUGUCUGUUUUUAAUGCAGUUCCACCUGAAGGCCUGAUGAUCAAAGUUUUUUAGCAUUACACAGUUUUCCAUUCUUUUGUUGCCUCUGCCCCAACCUUUUUGAAACGUGUUGCUGCAAUCAAAUUCAAAGUGGACAACAUUAUUUUGUCUUUGUACUAUUUUCUUUUGAAUUUAGGUUUUAAAGGAUUGCACAUCAUUCUGUUAUUAUUGACAUUUUACGCAGCAUCCCAAGUUUUUGGGAAAUUGGGUUGUACAAAGUGCCCAAGAAACACCACUCCAAUGCUCACAAACUCUUUAGUAUAUAAAGAGUAUUUUUCCAGGUGCAGGUGUAACUAAUAGAGCAUGAAUAUCAAUAGUAACUCCCAACAUAUUUCCAGUUACAGGUGGAAGUAAUACAGGAUUCUUAUCAGUUGUACUGCUACAGCAUGUUUCUGAUUAUGUGUGGAUUUAAUUGACUGAUUCCUGUAGAAUUAACAUUCUAUGCUAAUAUACGAUAUGUAUUAAUGUAAAUAAAUCAUGUAUUUUGCA
ensembl:lncRNA